CUGGAUUUUUUCAUUUGCUCAGUUUUGCUUAAUACUGUGGAACUGGUUCUAUGUUCUAUUAGAAUAUAUGAACUGUUAAAAUACUAGGACAGCAGCUGUCUCUAUACUGUGAACCCCUUUAUAGACUCUUAAGUAAUAUUUGCAUUACAUUUAGUGAUGAGGAACAGCCAGUGAUUCUGUAGUAUUGUUAAGCUUACAGCUGUGGCCAAAAGUUUAGCAUCACCUAGAAUUUUAGGAUUGAGACAUCACUAAAAAAAAGAAAAAAAAACUACAUGAACAUAAUUUAGAUCUUUUAUUUUUUAUCAUGUAAUCAAAUAAUAAUCAAAUAUCUUUUAUCAUGUAAUCAAAAAAAACUACAAAAUGAUAUCGCAAAAACUCCACAGGAAGCCAUAAUAGUAGUAGAGUAGUAUUUUAUGUUAGAUUUCGAAAUGUCACAUUUUUGUCAGUUUUCCGUUGAGUAUAUAGCAAACUGCGAAGCGGUAUGUAGUUCAAUAUGUUAACGUAACAUUAUUCAGCAGGUUUCAUUCGACUUCAUGAAGCAAAAUUAGAUCAUUCUAUUGGGCGCUGCAAAACUUUUGCCCAUAGCUGUAUUUUAGUGAUUAAACUCAAAUAAAACUAAUAGCUUGCAAAUAAAAUGGUGUUGAAAUGGUUUUGAAAUCUUGGGUUGGAUUGUUUCUAUAGGCUGAGCAUCGUGGCAGAGAAAAUAACCCCUUUGGGGCUCUCCAGCUCUCAAACGCCGGUCAGAACUCAAAGGAAGAUGCUGAGGGCACUUAUACUGCACUGAACACAUCAGCUGUUUCCUCAGACUAUGAAGAAAUAUGCAAGAAGUAACCAGGAUGGAAAUCUUUGCUCUAAUUGAUAAUGCUGGCGGCUGUUAAAAUGUACUGCCUUCAUUUUGUGAACAGUAAUGCUACUCUUUAGUCCUUCACCGUUUCCUUAGCUUUAAGAUGCUUUAUUGAACUGGAGCUUCAUUUAUGGCAAAAGAAUGCAAUUCUGUUUUAAAGCACAGAUAUAAAAAUGUGCAUCUCCAGUCAAAAUGUAUUUCACACAGUAUUUUUUAUUAUUUUUUUUUAUUUCACAAUAUUGUAAAGCCAAAAAAAAGCUUUUUUUUUUAAAAAAUAUAUUCAUGAAUGUAUUUGAAUAUAUUUAGCAAUCAUGACCUGCUACAUAUAUUGUAUCAUCAGUAAGGUGUUCAAUACGGUAGAUAAGUCAUCUACAAUACACUGCACUUUUUAACACAUAUUUUACAAUAUAUUCCAAUGUAUUUAUUUCUUGAGGGGUGAUGUCUUUCUCAGUUUUAAUUUCAAAUAAAUAAUGAAACUUC